UACGUAGGGGGCUAGCGUUGUCCGGAAUCAUUGGGCGUAAAGCGCGUGUAGGCGGCCCGGUAAGUCCGCUGUGAAAGUCGGGGGCUCAACCCUCGAAAGCCGGUGGAUACUGUCGGGCUCGAGUGCGGAAGAGGCGAGUGGAAUUCCUGGUGUAGCGGUGACAUGCGCAGAUAUCAGGAGGAACACCGAUUGCGAAGGCAGCUCGCUGGGACGUUACUGACGCUGAGACGCGAAAGCGUGGGGAGCAAACAGG
rnacentral:rRNA from 1 species